rnacentral:rRNA from 1 species
GGUUAAGCGACUAAGCGUACACGGUGGAUGCCCUGGCAGUCAGAGGCGAUGAAGGACGUGCUAAUCUGCGAAAAGCGUCGGUAAGGUGAUAUGAACCGUUAUAACCGGCGAUGUCCGAAUGGGGAAACCCAGUGCAAUUCGUUGCACUAUCGUUAACUGAAUACAUAGGUUAACGAGGCGAACCGGGGGAACUGAAACAUCUAAGUACCCUGAGGAAAAGAAAUCAACCGAGAUUCCCCCAGUAGCGGCGAGCGAACGGGGAGCAGCCCAGAGUCUGAAUCAGCUUGUGUGUUAGUGGAACGGUCUGGAAAGUCCGACGGUACAGGGUGAUAGUCCCGUACACCAAAAUGCACAGGUUGUGAACUCGAAGAGUAGGGCGGGACACGUGGUAUCCUGUCUGAAUAUGGGGGGACCAUCCUCCAAGGCUAAAUACUACUGACUGACCGAUAGUGAACCAGUACCGUGAGGGAAAGGCGAAAAGAACCCCGGCGAGGGGAGUGAAAAAGAACCUGAAACCGUGUACGUACAAGCAGUGGGAGCACCUUCGGGUGUGACUGCGUACCUUUUGUAUAAUGGGUCAGCGACUUAUAUUCUGUAGCAAGGUUAACCGUAUAGGGGAGCCGCAGGGAAACCGAGUCUUAACUGGGCGUUAAGUUGCAGGGUAUAGACCCGAAACCCGGUGAUCUAGCCAUGGGCAGGUUGAAGGUUGGGUAACACUAACUGGAGGACCGAACCGACUAAUGUUGAAAAAUUAGCGGAUGACUUGUGGCUGGGGGUGAAAGGCCAAUCAAACCGGGAGAUAGCUGGUUCUCCCCGAAAGCUAUUUAGGUAGCGCCUCGUGAAUUCAUCUUCGGGGGUAGAGCACUGUUUCGGCUAGGGGGUCAUCCCGACUUACCAACCCGAUGCAAACUACGAAUACCGAAGAAUGUUAUCACGGGAGACACACGGCGGGUGCUAACGUCCGUCGUGAAGAGGGAAACAACCCAGACCGCCAGCUAAGGUCCCAAAGUCAUGGUUAAGUGGGAAACGAUGUGGGAAGGCACAGACAGCCAGGAUGUUGGCUUAGAAGCAGCCAUCAUUUAAAGAAAGCGUAAUAGCUCACUGGUCGAGUCGGCCUGCGCGGAAGAUGUAACGGGGCUAAACCAUGCACCGAAGCUGCGGCAGCGACACUAUGUGUUGUUGGGUAGGGGAGCGUUCUGUAAGCCUGCGAAGGUGACCUGUGAGGGUUGCUGGAGGUAUCAGAAGUGCGAAUGCUGACAUAAGUAACGAUAAAGCGGGUGAAAAGCCCGCUCGCCGGAAGACCAAGGGUUCCUGUCCAACGUUAAUCGGGGCAGGGUGAGUCGACCCCUAAGGCGAGGCCGAAAGGCGUAGUCGAUGGGAAACAGGUUAAUAUUCCUGUACUUGGUGUUACUGCGAAGGGGGGACGGAGAAGGCUAUGUUAGCCGGGCGACGGUUGUCCCGGUUUAAGCAUGUAGGCUGGUUAUCCAGGCAAAUCCGGAUAAUCAAGGCUGAGGUGUGAUGACGAGGCACUACGGUGCUGAAGUAACAAAUGCCCUGCUUCCAGGAAAAGCCUCUAAGCAUCAGGUAACAUCAAAUCGUACCCCAAACCGACACAGGUGGUCGGGUAGAGAAUACCAAGGCGCUUGAGAGAACUCGGGUGAAGGAACUAGGCAAAAUGGUGCCGUAACUUCGGGAGAAGGCACGCUGGUGUGUAGGUGAAGUCCCUGCGGAUGGAGCUGAGACCAGUCGAAGAUACCAGCUGGCUGCAACUGUUUAUUAAAAACACAGCACUGUGCAAACACGAAAGUGGACGUAUACGGUGUGACGCCUGCCCGGUGCCGGAAGGUUAAUUGAUGGGGUUAUCCGUAAGGAGAAGCUCUUGAUCGAAGCCCCGGUAAACGGCGGCCGUAACUAUAACGGUCCUAAGGUAGCGAAAUUCCUUGUCGGGUAAGUUCCGACCUGCACGAAUGGCGUAACGAUGGCGGCGCUGUCUCCACCC